UACGUAGGGUGCGAGCGUUGUCCGGAAUUAUUGGGCGUAAAGAGCUCGUAGGCGGUCUGUCGCGUCGAUCGUGAAAACUUGGGGCUUAACCCUGAGCUUGCGGUCGAUACGGGCAUGACUGGAGUUCGGCAGGGGAGACUGGAAUUCCUGGUGUAGUGGUGAAAUGCGCAGAUAUCAGGAGGAACACCGGUGGCGAAGGCGGGUCUCUGGGCCGUAACUGACGCUGAGGAGCGAAAGCGUGGGGAGCGAACAGG
rnacentral:rRNA from 1 species